rnacentral:rRNA from 1 species
CGGGACGGGUGAGUAACGCGUGGGUAACCUGCCUUGUACAGGGGGAUAACAGUUGGAAACGGCUGCUAAUACCGCAUAAGCGCACGGCAUCGCAUGAUGCAGUGUGAAAAACUCCGGUGGUAUAAGAUGGACCCGCGUUGGAUUAGCUAGUUGGUGAGGUAACGGCCCACCAAGGCGACGAUCCAUAGCCGACCUGAGAGGGUGACCGGCCACAUUGGGACUGAGACACGGCCCAG